rnacentral:rRNA from 1 species
AUGGAGAAGUGCUCGUCCAACGCCACUGCCACCAUGCCACUAGUGAACGCCGGCGCACCGGCGCUUGCAAUGCUAGCCGCAACGGCUGCCACCAUCGUGCUCCUUCUCGCGUUCCUGCGGCGCCAGAGCAGCAAGACCACCGUGCCCAAGCGCGCCGGGCUGCCACUGGGGCCCGCGGGGCUGCCGGUGCUGGGCAACAUGCACCAGAUGCUCGCGAACAAGCCCGUCUUCCGGUGGCUGCACCGCCUGCUGGAGCACGCCGGCGGGGAGAUCGUGCGCGUGCGCCUCGGCCCCGUGCACGUCGUCGUCGUGGCCUGCCCAGCGAUGGCCCGCGAGGUGCUGCGCAAGAACGACGCCGUGUUCGCGGACCGGCCGGUCACGUUCGCGGCCGAGUCCUUCAGCGUGGGCUACCGUAGCGCCAGCAUCUCCCCCUACGGCGACCAGUGGAGGAAGAUGCGGCGCGUCCUCACCGCCGAGGUCCUCUCCCCGGCCACCGAGCACCGCCUCCGCGGCGCCCGUGAGGAGGAGGCCGACCACAUGCUGCGGUGGGUGCACGCCCAGGUCCAGUGCAAUGCCGGCGGCGUCGUCAACGUGCGCCACGUUGCCAGGCACUUCUGCGGCAACCUCAUCCGGAGGCUCACCCUGGGGCGGCGGCAUUUCCGCGACAGCCAGCCUGACGGCGUCGGGGCGCCAGGGCCCGACGAAGAGGAGCACGUGGACGCGCUGUUCUCGGUGCUCGGCUACCUCGACGCGUUCGCCGUGUCCGACUACUUCCCGGCGCUGGUCGGCCUCGACCUGGACGGCCACGAGAAGGUCGUCAGGGGCGUGAUGAGGACGCUGAACCGGCUGCACGACCCGGUGAUCGAGGAACGGGUGGAGGAGUGGCGGCUGCUGCGGAAAGCCGGCGAGCGGCGCGACGUUGCCGACUUCCUCGACGUGCUCGCCUCGCUUGACGGCGCGGGCGGGCGGCCGCUCCUCACCGUGGAAGAGAUCAAGGCACAGACCAUUGAUAUCAUGAUUGCUAGCGUGGACAACCCGUCAAACGCGGUGGAGUGGGCGCUGGCGGAGAUGAUGAACAAGCCGGAGCUGAUGCGGAAGGCGAUGGAGGAGCUGGACGCCGUCGUCGGCCGGGACCGGCUGGUCCAGGAGCCCGACCUCCGCAGCCUCAACUACCUCAAGGCCUGCAUCCGGGAGGCCUUCCGCCUCCACCCGUACCACCCGCUCAACCCGCCCCGCGUCGCCAUGGCCGACACCACCGUCGCCGGGUACUCGGUCCCCAGGGGCAGCCAGGUCGUCCUGAGCCGCGUCGCCCUCGGGCGGAACCCCAGGGUGUGGGCCGACCCGCUCGAGUUCCGGCCGGAGCGGCACCUGUCCGGCGACGACGCUGCCGUGGCGCUCAGCGAGCCGGAGCUGCGGUUCGUGUCCUUCAGCACCGGGAGGCGCGGCUGCCCCGGGAUCGCGCUGGGCACCCUCUUCACCGUCAUGCUGUUCGCGCGGCUCCUGCAGGGGUUCAACUGGAGCUUGCCGCCCGGCGUGGACGGAGUCGAGCUGCGCGAGGCGGAGGGUAGCCUCGUGCUGGCAGAGCCGUUGCGCCUGCAGGCCAGGCCGCGGCUGCCGGCGCAUCUCUACGGGCCUCAGUAA